GACGAACGCUGGUGGCGUGCUUAACACAUGCAAGUCGAACGGUGAAGCCCAGCUUGCUGGGUGGAUCAGUGGCGAACGGGUGAGUAACACGUGAGCAACCUGCCCUCCACUUCGGGAUAAGCCUUGGAAACGAGGUCUAAUACCGGAUAUGAGCGCCUGCCGCAUGGUGGGUGUUGGAAAGUUUUUCGGUGGGGGAUGGGCUCGCGGCCUAUCAGCUUGUUGGUGGGGUAAUGGCCUACCAAGGCGUCGACGGGUAGCCGGCCUGAGAGGGCGACCGGCCACACUGGGACUGAGACACGGCCCAGACUCCUACGGGAGGCAGCAGUGGGGAAUAUUGCACAAUGGGCGAAAGCCUGAUGCAGCGACGCCACGUGAGGGAUGACGGCCUUCGGGUUGUAAACCUCUUUCAGCAGGGAAGAAGCGCAAGUGACGGUACCUGCAGAAGAAGCGCCGGCUAACUACGUGCCAGCAGCCGCCGCAG
rnacentral:rRNA from 1 species